AUUGAUGCCACCUGCUAUGUUUCUACUUUUCUAUUCUGGUAUUACCAUGUCAUUAUUGUCAUAAGAAUUUAGACCUAUAAUAUUAUGUGGUUUCAGGUCCUUGGCACACCCACUCGAGAAAAAGUCCACUGCAUGAAUCCAAACUACAACAACUUCAGGUUUCCACAGAUAAAAGCACACCCAUGGCACAAGCUAGAAGCUUGUGCACACCCAUUCUUUGAUGAACUCCGUGAACCCAAUGCUCGCUUGCCAAAUGGUCGUCCAUUUCCACCACUAUUCAACUUUAAACAAGAGGUGACUGUGCUGGAGCUUCAAAUUAGAAAAGACUCAAAAGAAGUUAGAAAAGUUGGAACGGGAGCUGAAAUAGAAGAGAUGGAAUGAGGCUUAUGUUAGCUAUUAUGAGAAGGUUAGAGAGUCAAGUAGUUCUAGUGUAGUUCCACUACCACCGCCACCGCCGCCACCCUCAAUGUCUUCGGAUGAAGACUAUGAUGAUGAUGACGAUGAAGAUGACACUGAAGAUUAUAGCAGAUCGUUUUAGUAUGGUUGAACAAUAUACUAGGAAUUAUAGUUAAUGAUCAAUACAUUUUGUUUAUGUUUUGAAUUAUAUUGACUUGCUUAUUUAUAGUACUUUUCUUUUAGUUUGAUAAUA